UGGGGAAGGCACUGACGUGUGACAUAGCA
rnacentral:piRNA from 2 species